rnacentral:misc_RNA from 1 species
UACGGAGGAUCCAAGCGUUAUCCGGAAUCAUUGGGUUUAAAGGGUGCGCAGGCGGUCUAUUAAGCCAGUGGUGAAAGCCCUCGGCUCAACCGGGGAAUUGCCAUUGGAACUGAUAGACUUGAGUACAGUCGGAGUGAAUGGAAUACGUCAUGUAGCGGUGAAAUGCAUAGAUAUGACGUAGAACACCCAUCGCGAAGGCAGUUCACUAGACUGUCACUGACGCUCAGGCACGAAAGCGUGGGGAGCGAACAGG